rnacentral:rRNA from 1 species
CCUACGGGAGGCAGCAGUGGGGAAUUGUUCGCAAUGGGCGCAAGCCUGACGACGCAACGCCGCGUGGAGGAUGAAGACCUUCGGGUCGUAAACUCCUUUCGAUCGAGACGAAUGUUUUCCGGGUGAACAAUCCGGAAAAGUGACGGUACCGAGAGAAGAAGCCCCGGCUAACUCUGUGCCAGCAGCCGCGGUAAUACAGGGGGGGCAAGCGUUGUUCGGAAUUACUGGGCGUAAAGGGCUUGUAGGUGGCCAACUAAGUCAGACGUGAAAUCCCUCAGCUUAACUGGGGAACUGCGUCUGAUACUGGAUGGCUUGAGUUUGGGAGAGGGAUGCGGAAUUCCAGGUGUAGCGGUGAAAUGCGUAGAUAUCUGGAGGAACACCGGUGGCGAAGGCGGCAUCCUGGACCAACACUGACACUGAGGAGCGAAAGCCAGGGGAGCAAACGGGAUUAGAUACCCCGGUAGUCCUGGCCCUAAACGAUGAAUGCUUGGUGUGGCGGGUAUCGAUCCCUGCCGUGCCGAAGCUAACGCAUUAAGCAUUCCGCCUGGGGAGUACGGUCGCAAGGCUGAAACUUNAAAUGAAUUGACGG